rnacentral:tRNA from 1 species
GGAGGGAUGGCAGAGCGGUUGAAUGCACCGGUCUUGAAAACCGGCAGGCCGAAAGGUCUCCAGGGUUCGAAUCCCUGUUCCUCCGCCA